rnacentral:rRNA from 1 species
GAUAAACGCUGGCGGCGUGCUUUACCAAUGCGAGUCGAGCGGUAAGGCCCUUUCGGGGGUACACGAGCGGCGAACGGGUGAGUAACACGUGGGUGACCUGCCCUCAGCUCUGGGAUAAGCCUGGGAAACUGGGUCUAAUACUGGAUAUGACUCCACGGUGCAUGUCGUGGGGUGGAAAGCCUUGUGCGGCUGAGGAUGGGCCCGCGGCCUAUCAGCUUGUUGGUGGGGUGAUGGCCUACCAAGGCGACGACGGGUAGCCGGCCUGAGAGGGCGACCGGCCACACUGGGACUGAGACACGGCCCAGACUCCUACGGGAGGCAGCAGUGGGGAAUCUUGCGCAAUGGGCGAAAGCCUGACGCAGCGACGCCGCGUGAGGGAUGACGGCCUGGUGUAACU